ACGCUCGACACCUACGGGACAGCAGUAGGGAAUCUUCCACAAUGGGCGCAAGCCUGAUGGAGCAACACCGCGUGAGUGAAGAAGGGUUUCGGCUCGUAAAGCUCUGUUGUUGGAGAAGAACGUGCGUGAGAGUAACUGUUCACGCAGUGACGGUAUCCAACCAGAAAGUCACGGCUAACUACGUGUCAGCAGCCGCGGUAAUCUGAGCGGGCUGGCAAGGC
rnacentral:rRNA from 1 species